UACGAAGGGGGCUAGCGUUGUUCGGAAUCACUGGGCGUAAAGGGCGCGUAGGCGGCUUGAUAAGUCCGCUGUAAAAGUCAACGGCUCAACUGUUGAAAGCCGGUGGAUACUGUCGGGCUAGAGUACGGAAGAGGCAAGUGGAAUUCCUGGUGUAGCGGUGGAAUGCGCAGAUAUCAGGAGGAACACCCAUAGCGAAGGCAGCUUGCUGGGACGUUACUGACGCUAAGGCGCGAAAGCGUGGGGAGCGAACAGG
rnacentral:rRNA from 1 species